rnacentral:rRNA from 1 species
AUUGAACGCUGGCGGCAGGCCUAACACAUGCAAGUCGAACGAGUGGCGGACGGGUGAGUAAUGUCUGGGAAACUGCCCGAUGGAGGGGGAUAACUACUGGACACGGUAGCUAAUACCGCAUACCAUCGGAUGUGCCCAGAUGGGAUUAGCUAGUAGGUGGGGUAACGGCUCACCUAGGCAACGAUCCCUAGCUGGUUUGAGAGGAUGACCAGCCACACUGGGACGGAGACACGGCCCAGAAUACUACGGGAGACAGCAGUGGGGAAUAUUGCACAAUGGGCGCAAGGCUGAUGGAGCCAUGCCGCGUGUAUGAAGAAGGCGUUCGGGUUGUAAAGUACUUUCAGCCAGGAGGCAUUACUCGCAGAAGAAGCACCGACUAGCUCCGUGCCAGCAGCCGCGGUAAUAC